CGGUCUCCGCGUCUUGAUGGUAGUGGUCCCCUGGGCCCAGCUGCUUUCUCUUUAUCUCUUUGUCUUGUGUCUUUAUUUAUUACAAUCUCUCAUCUCCACACACAGGGAGAACACUUGCUAAGCCCCGUAGGGCUGGGCCCUACAGGCUGCAGUGCUUCCCAGCAGAUAGAUCUUCUCAGUAGGGGAAGCAUAUUAUAGAGUAGCAGCUGAAAGCAUGGUACCUGGCAUCUAUAGCCACACGACCUGAGUUUGCGACCCAGCUCCAUAGCUACAAGACCAAGAGAAGAAUCUUCAAGUGGACUUCAGGCGGAUCCUACUCCAUGUACUUUCACAAGAGAUCUAGUCCCUUCCUUGCAUUCGAGGCCUCUCCAGCAUCUGAACAAGGAAAUAACAUUGGGACUGCUAUCUGCUGAAGUCUCUGCUGCAGCAAAUGGUCGUGCCUAUCCUUAAGGGGAGAGAGAUGAUACAGGGUAUCUAUAUCAAGGAGCAGGAAUCUUGGGGACCAUCUUAGAAUUCUACUGCCACAAUGGACACCUGAGAUAUUUCCAAGUUGUGCCUAUCAUGAAUAAAGCUGCUGUGAACAUUCUAGUAUAGGACAAAAGGAUGAAAAGAAGUUUGAAGUCUGUCUUCUGUCUUUUAAUCUUAUUUAUAAUUUUUAAAUAAAAGGUUUCUAAUUUCAAUGG
rnacentral:lncRNA from 10 species